rnacentral:rRNA from 1 species
AAUGGCGGACGGUCGAGUAACGCGUAGGGAUCUGCCUUAAAGUUGGACAUAGCUUUCCGAAAGGGGAGGUAAUUUCCAAUGUGAACGUAAGUUUAAAGCCGCAAGGCGCUUUAAGAUGAACCUGCGUCCUAUCAGCUAGUUGGUGAGGUAAUGGCUCACCAAGGCAUCGACGGGUAGCUGGUCUGAGAGGAUGAUCAGCCGGAAUGGGACUGAGACACGGCCCAUACACC